rnacentral:rRNA from 1 species
GGAACUGAGACACGGUCCAGACUCCUACGGGAGGCAGCAGUGGGGAAUAUUGCACAAUGGGCGCAAGCCUGAUGCAGCCAUGCCGCGUGUAUGAAGAAGGCCUUCGGGUUGUAAAGUACUUUCAGCGGGGAGGAAGGGAGUAAAGUCAAUACCUUUGCUCAUUGACGUUACCCGCAGAAGAAGCACCGGCUAACUCCGUGCCAGCAGCCGCGGUAAUACGGAGGGUGCAAGCGUUAAUCGGAAUUACUGGGCGUAAAGCGCACGCAGGCGGUUUGUUAAGUCAGAUGUGAAAU